rnacentral:rRNA from 1 species
CCCUUAGACGUUCUGGGCCGCACGCGCGCUACACUGACACAGGCAACGAGCUUUCCUUUACCGAAAGGUAUGGGUAAUCUUUUGAAACUGUGUCGUGCUGGGGAUAGAUCCUUGCAAUUUUUGAUCUUAAACGAGGAAUUCCUAGUAAGCGCGAGUCAUCAACUCGCGUUGAUUACGUCCCUGUCCUUUGUACACACCGCCCGUCGCUACUACCGAUUGAAUGGCUUAGUGAGGCCUCAGGAUCCGCGCUUAAUGUGUGGAGAAUUUGGACAAACUACGUCAUUUAGAGGAAGUAAAAGUCGUAACA